GACGAACGCUGGCGGCGUGCCUAAUACAUGCAAGUAGAACGCACAGUUUAUACCGUAGCUUGCUACACCAUAGACUGUGAGUUGCGAACGGGUGAGUAACGCGUAGGUAACCUGCCUGGUAGCGGGGGAUAACUAUUGGAAACGAUAGCUAAUACCGCAUAAUAUUAAUUAUUGCAUGAUAAUUAAUUGAAAGGUGCAAUUGCACCACUACCAGAUGGACCUGCGUUGUAUUAGCUAGUAGGUGAGGUAACGGCUCACCUAGGCGACGAUACAUAGCCGACCUGAGAGGGUGAUCGGCCACACUGGGACCGGGACACGGCCCAGACUCCUACGGGAGGCAGCAGUAGGGAAUCUUCGGCAAUGGACGAAAGGCUGACCGAGCAACGCCGCGUGAGUGAAGAAGGUUUUCGGAUCGGAAAGCUCUGUUGUAAGAGAAGAACGGGUGUGAGAGUGGAAAGUUCACACUGUGACGGUAUCUUAACAGAAAGGGACGGCUAACUACGUG
rnacentral:rRNA from 1 species